rnacentral:rRNA from 1 species
UACGGAGGGUCCAAGCGUUAUCCGGAAUCAUUGGGUUUAAAGGGUCCGUAGGCGGUUUUGUAAGUCAGUGGUGAAAGCCCAUCGCUCAACGGUGGAACGGCCAUUGAUACUGCAAGACUUGAAUUAUUGGGAAGUAACUAGAAUACGUAGUGUAGCGGUGAAAUGCUUAGAGAUUACAUGGAAUACCAAUUGCGAAGGCAGGUUACUACCAAUAUAUUGACGCUGAUGGACGAAAGCGUGGGGAGCGAACAGG